rnacentral:rRNA from 1 species
CCUACGGGGGGCAGCAGUGGGGAAUAUUGCACAAUGGGGGAAACCCUGAUGCAGCGACGCCGCGUGAGUGAAGAAGUAAUUCGUUACGUAAAGCUCUAUCAGCAGGGAAGAAACACUGACCUUACGGUCAGCAGACGGUACCUGAGUAAGAAGCACCGGCUAACUACGUGCCAGCAGCCGCGGUAAUACGUAGGGGGCAAGCGUUAUCCGGAUUUACUGGGUGUAAAGGGAGCGUAGACGGUGCGCCAAGUCUGGAGUGAAAUGCCGCAGCUUAACUGCGGAACUGCUUUGGAAACUGGCGAACUAGAGUGCGGGAGGGGUAAGCGGAAUUCCUAGGGUAGCGGUGAAAUGCGUAGAUAUUAGGAGGAACACCGGUGGCGAAGGCGGCUUACUGGACCGUAACUGACGUUGAGGCUCGAAAGCGUGGGGAGCAAACAGGAUUAGAUACCCCAGUAGUC